UACGUAGGGCGCAAGCGUUUGUCCGGAAUUAUUGGGCGUAAAGAGCUCGUAGGCGGCUUGUCACGUCGGGUGUGAAAGCCCGGGGCUUAACCCCGGGUCUGCAUUCGAUACGGGCUAGCUAGAGUGUGGUAGGGGAGAUCGGAAUUCCUGGUGUAGCGGUGAAAUGCGUAGAUAUCGAGAGGAACACCUGCGGCGAAGGCGGGUUGCUGGGCCGACACUGACGCUGAGGCGCGAAAGCCAGGGGAGCGAACGGG
rnacentral:rRNA from 1 species